rnacentral:rRNA from 1 species
AUACGGAGGGGGCAAGCGUUAUUCGGAAUUAUUGGGCGUAAAGGGCGCGCAGGCGGCUUGACAAGUCAAAGGUGAAAUCCCUCGGCCCAACCGAGGAACUGCCUUUGAAACUGUCUGGCUUGAGUCCGGGAGAGGGUAGUGGAAUUCCCAGUGUAGCGGUGAAAUGCGUAGAUAUUGGGAGGAACACCAGUGGCGAAGGCGACUACCUGGACCGGUACUGACGCUGAGGCGCGAAAGCGUGGGGAGCAAACAGGAUUAGAAACCCCAGUAGUCC